GUCAAGCCUACGACCUGUAGGAACCUGCUACACUGCUGCAUGUUGGAUCGCACAACGAUGCACUUGACCUGCAUGCUUUUACAAGGUGCCCUGUGAGCUCUCAUCCAAGCACCGCAUUCCAGAGGUCUGCUUUGAGCAGAUGUGGCAAAUUGAAGUAACAUACAGAUAGUCCAAUAAACUACUCGUAAUUUCAGACAAAC
rnacentral:lncRNA from 1 species